UGGGAGAUUCAGUCCCAGGCGCCCCUCGGAGAGGAGUCGGAGCCUGCCCUGCUAAGCCCUGGAGGGAAGGUCGCUGCGAGAAGCUUUGUGUCCUGCAGGGGACCUCAUCUGGAAGGACACAGGAGCCUGGGGCGACUACACUGGGGACUGACUGCUCUUUACAUUUCCUGAGAACGGAACCAGAGGAAUAUGGUUAAGCAGCCAUCAGACCAGCUUACUCAUGAAGGAGUUCCCAUAACAUGCCACAGGGGAGGAAAAGACUCUGAAAAGGAAGACAUCUGACUCUCUUUGACACAAUCAAAUAAAAUGUGGCACUGCCUGGCAUACAUUUUUUUACCUAGCGGAUUGCCGUGAGGAUUCUAAAACAGAGACAGCAAACACAUUUCAUCUCAUCUGCCAGUUAUAACCCAUUACGUGGCUGCCUGGAUGGUAGCAUUGAGAAGGAUUAGUAAUGCCUGUCAAGGAUGUGGAACUGGGAAAUCGGGACAUACAUCCCAGUUGUUUGUCAAGUCUAUUCUUGAUCCGAGCUGGUGCAUAAAAUCCACAAAUCGUAUUUAGGAAAAUGAAAAGACUUACAUAAAUUUUAAGAAUAUGUGGGCCAUAAACAUGUAAUUAAGAACCUAACUGUCAUUCUGCACCUCCAAGCGUGAUGGCAAAAUGGCUCUGUGUCGUCUUUGACCGUCUAAUCAAAACAGAUGCUUGAUACAAGCACUAAGCGUGCACUUUUGAUUUUUUUUAAACUGUCACACUCCUGGACACCAGGACUGUGUUGAAUAGUUCAACGGAAAUGGACGGCUGGAAUGUUUCUUCACCUACGUUUCAGAAAGAGCCAACCACAACUUUGGAAUGAUUAAUGUCUAAGCAAUGAUGCUGGAUACGACCCAAUGAUGCAAAGAUAGAUUUUUCCAAAACAGCUUAGACACUGUGGUGAGUUGUUACAACACGGACGGUUCAGAAUCACAGUAUCAGCUCCUAAGAGAG